rnacentral:rRNA from 1 species
UACGGAGGAUCCAAGCGUUAUCCGGAAUCAUUGGGUUUAAAGGGUCCGUAGGCGGUUUAAUAAGUCAGUGGUGAAAGCCCAUCGCUCAACGGUGGAGCGGCCAUUGAUACUGUUAAACUUGAAUUAUUAGGAAGUAACUAGAAUGUGUAGUGUAGCGGUGAAAUGCUUAGAGAUUACAUGGAAUACCAAUUGCGAAGGCAGGUUACUACUAAUGGAUUGACGCUGAUGGACGAAAGCGUGGGUAGCGAACAGG